rnacentral:rRNA from 1 species
CGUAAUAACAGAAACUAACCAGGAUUCCCUUAGUAACGGCGAGUGAACUGGGAUACCAAUAUAUUUAUGCGUCUCUGGCGCAUAUUUUUAGCCCGUCGAUACUAUCCUAGCGUAUUACCGGUUUCGGCCGGUAGCCCAAUACGCGGGAAUUGUAGCAUCGUAAUAAAAUAUACACCAUGCCUGCGUCGCAAACGUAUAUACACGUAUACUCACACACACACAUACUCUCGUACGCGUACACACCCCUUGCAAACACACAGCGCUCCCGCGUUGGAAAGCAAGUCUAUAUCCUCUUUGGAUAUGCCAUAGAGUGUGACAGCCACGUUUGAAACACCCUACGUACCGUACACACACAUACGUAAAAAUACGCGCUGCUUCGCAUACGCAUACCGUAUAUAACCUGAGUCGAGUUAUUU